CUUCCAGUAGCACCUUAGAGACCAACUACGUUUGUUAUUGGUAUGAGCUUUCAUGUGCAUGCACACUUCUUCAGACACACUUCUUCGUGUGCAUGCACACGAAAGCUCAUACCAAUAACAAACUUAGUUGGUCUCUAAGGUGCUACUGGAAG
rnacentral:miRNA from 1 species